CUUUUCAGUUCUGUCUUCCUGAGGCUGCUGUUUCUGGGCAUGGCCAGGGGAUCUUCAGACUUUACAAACCAGUUGUGCAGAGCCAGGCAUUUCAAUAAGGAACAAAAUGCUGAGUAACAACAUGAAGUCAGAGUGUUGCUUGCCAAGAGCUGGGAGGCCUGGGUGGUUUCCCAAUCUUAAAGAAGCAGAAGGAUAUUAAAGUGAGCCUCCCAAAGGAAAACGUGGAUCUACUUACCAACGCAGAAAAUGAUACACACGGAUUCGAUUUAGGCACGCUACAUUCAAAUGACUUGGAAGAGCAGUUUCUCUGAGCCAGGAUACUAAAGUCCGUGUUUAGGAAAGAGCCACAUUGUAUGUUUACCCUACCACAAAGAUACAGUGCUGGCAGAGGAAACAGCAGCAAUGAUGCUCUGCGAGCCUGACUCAGGGCCAGCAGUGAUGGCAGCCCAAGAAUUCUGGAGGAAAGUGGCUCUGGGAAUUGAACAGUGGCUCAGUGAUGUUGGGGCCACCAAGUCUGCAAUUCUCCCGACCUGUUCUUCACGGUUGUAAGAUGACUGCUGCAAUUCUCGGCAUCAUGUGCAUGUUA
rnacentral:lncRNA from 1 species